rnacentral:ribozyme from 1 species
UGGUCUAUGGGUGCAGGCAUUCAUUCUUUCGAAAAUACCUGAGCUCUUCGACACUUUCUUCAUCAUUGUCAGGAAAAAGCCUCUGAUCUUUCUGCAUUGGUACCACCACUUCUCUGUUCUUCUCUUUUGCUGGCAUUCUUAUGUUACUGAAUCUG